AAAAUAUAUUUCGAAUUCUAUUUUCUUAAAAAAUGACAAGGUGCAAACUGAGAGCGGCAAGAGAGGAAUUUAAACAGCGAAAGCAGUCUUAUUUACAAGAGAUCAGAGAAAAAAAAAAUGAAAGAAAAGCUCUAGGCACAUCCGACACUUUCAAAGUCUUAUGAACUAGCUAGGCAUGCGUGACACUCUCAUAGCUACAAUGAUUCGGCAAAAGAGUAGUCUAAUUGUCCUUGUUCAUCAUCCGUCUUCAGGAGCUGCAGAUACUCUUCAUAAAGCUUCUCUAGGUUGUUGUUUGCUGUCGGUACAAGAGUCUGGCAUUCAAGAUCUGUGCUGUUAACAAUGUCAUGAUCAACAAGAAAGCUAAUCCCAUCAUCAUCAUCCUUCAAAUUACACCAAGGAUUGUCUACGACAGCUUCUGCACUUAAACCAACCUCUCCUCCUUGGCAUGAAGACAGACUAGUAUUGCCCUCAAAACUGUCAUUUCUUGGCAAAAAUAAAGAAGAAAACCUAACAGGCUUGGGGAGAUGGAUCUUGGGCUUUUCUGGUUCUACUUUGGCUUUAUUUUUCUUGCGUUUCUUGUUGUUGGAGUUGCUCUUGUUAUUUUUCCUCUUUUUUCCUUGCUGUUGAACUGGCUCUGCCAAUUUUUUAUGAGUAUUAGGAUCAGUUCCUUGGCUUCUAAGUUUCUUACUAAGAUGAGUGUUCCAAUAAUUCUUGAUCUCAUUAUCAGUUCGACCUGGAAGCCUUCCAGCGAUGAGAGACCAUCGGUUUCCAAGCAGGGAAUGCAUUCUGAUUAUAAGAUCAUCCUCAUCAGGAGUGAUGUUCCCUCUCUUAAUAUCUGGCCGUAGAUAAUUCAUCCAUCUUAGCCUACAGCUCUUUCCACAUCUGAGGAGACCUUCAUCAAUCGUCAAACAGAUACAUAUAUUUAAUUUAAUUUUCAAAAUACAAAUUAGAUUAAAACUGAUCGGCUUGUGAAUUUUAUGUAAAUGUAUAUGGUACAAUGACAUCAUGACAAUGAAGCAGAGUGUAUUGAAUUUGAAGUAAAGAACUCGAAUUAUGCUGUUAUUGAGAAAAAGAGAAUGAAGAAAAGGUGUGGCCAUUGAGAUAAUUAAAAUUACCAGCUUUUUUAGGCAAAGACCUCCAGUUGCCUUCUCCACGAGCUUGAAUAUACUUUGUAAGCAAUGUGUCUUCUCUAGGAGUCCAUGGUCCUCUAUGCAACCCUACCUUGGAGCAACAUGGAGCCCUUCCCAUUUUCUCUCCGAUCACCUUUUGUUUCUGAUGAUGAUCUCGAUCUCCGAUCAAAUGUGAGAUCAGACCACUGACUAAGUAGCUAGAGACUGAAGCUCCAGCGAGCACAGCAAAAUUCACAAAUUUUUUUUCCUUUUGGAAUCAUUGGAAAGUUAAUUUUUCUAUUUUCCCCUGCUUCUGCUAUAGAGCAAUUUAUAGAACAGAUACACUAUGGUGAGAAUUCAGACAUUUGAAAAAAAAAAA
rnacentral:misc_RNA from 1 species